rnacentral:rRNA from 1 species
CCUACGGGGCGCAGCCGUGGGGCAUAUUGGGCAAUGGACGCCCGUCUGACCCAGCAACGCCGCGUGAAGGAAGAAGGCUUUCGGGUUGUAAACUUCUUUUAAGGGGGAAGAGCAGAAGACGGUACCCCUUGAAUAAGCCACGGCUAACUACGUGCCAGCAGCCGCGGUAAUACGUAGGUGGCAAGCGUUGUCCGGAUUUACUGGGUGUAAAGGGCGUGCAGCCGGAGAGGCAAGUCAGAUGUGAAAUCCGCGGGCUCAACUCGCGAACUGCAUUUGAAACUGCUUCCCUUGAGUAUCGGAGAGGG